AACGCUGGCGGCGUGCUUAACACAUGCAAGUCGAACGAGAGGACAAGAGAAGCUUGCUUCUUUUGGAAUCGAGUGGCGGACGGGUGAGUAACGCGUGAGGAACCUGCCUUGAAGAGGGGGACAACAGUUGGAAACGACUGCUAAUACCGCAUGACGCAUAGAGGUCGCAUGAUCUUUAUGCCAAAGAUUUAUCGCUUCAAGAUGGCCUCGCGUCUGAUUAGCUAGUUGGCGGGGUAACGGCCCACCAAGGCGACGAUCAGUAGCCGGACUGAGAGGUUGAACGGCCACAUUGGGACUGAGAUACGGCCCAGACUCCUACGGGAGGCAGCAGUGGGGAAUAUUGGGCAAUGGGCGCAAGCCUGACCCAGCAACGCCGCGUGAAGGAAGAAGGCUUUCGGGUUGUAAACUUCUUUUAAGAGGGAAGAGCAGAAGACGGUACCUCUAGAAUAAGCCACGGCUAACUACGUG
rnacentral:rRNA from 1 species